CUUUAUGACUAUAGGAGGAUAGAAGGCACAAGAUCUGAAAUAAAGUCCAUCCUGAGACAGUCCAAAGGAUACAGGGAUUAGGAGUAGGAGGUUCCCCUGAUCAGAUGUCUUUGUCAUUUUUCUAGUGGUCUGCUUGCCGUCUCUCAGCCUGGUGACACAAGCACCAGGUAUCUGGCCUUACCACACCAGUGGUACUGCUGACCCUACCUAGUGAUACGUGCUGUUUCAAGGACCCAUGGGAGACCCAGAAGGCCGCUAUUUAUGUCCAAAGUCACACACAACCUUUGUGCCAUUCAGAGGAGGAGGAACAUGUGAACUAAGCAUUCAGUUAAACAAAUGAACUCUUCUUAAAAAUCAUUAAAUCUAAGAAAUCAUUUCA